ACCAGACAGUCUCCAAGAAGGACCUUCAGCAACAAUGUCCAGAAGCACAGAGGAGCCUGCACUCCACACGGAAUGUGUACAACAGACAGGGUAGUCAACAACUGAACGAGGACACAGUGCAGUGCUAACUCCACUCCCACACCAGCC
rnacentral:lncRNA from 1 species